rnacentral:sRNA from 1 species
CAUGCCCCUUAUACGCUGGGCUACACACGUGCUACAAUGGGUAGAACAGAGAGUCGCAAAGCCGUGAGGUGGAGCUAAUCUCAGAAAACUAUUCUUAGUUCGGAUUGUACUCUGCAACUCGAGUACAUGAAGUUGGAAUCGCUAGUAAUCGCGAAUCAGCAAUGUCGCGGUGAAUACGUUCUCGGGUCUUGUACACACCGCCCGUCACACCACGAGAGUUGGUUGCACCUGAAGUAGCAGGCCUAACCGUAAGGAGGGAUGCUCCGAGGGUGUGAUUAGCGAUUGGGGUGAAGUCGUAACAAGGUAUCCGUACGGGAACGUGCGGAUGGAUCACCUCCUUUCUAAGGAGACAAUGUCUUUCUCUAUUCUAUUGGUAAUGUUCUUACAUUACUUCUGAACAUUGGAAACUAUAUAGUAGAACAAAAAUAACUCUAAACAAUUUCUUAGAGUUAGCUGUCAAAAAAAUAGAUUAAAAUAAUUAAGGGCACACAAAGGAUGCCUAGGUAGUAAGAGCCGAUGAAGGACGUGGUAAGCUGCGAUAAGC